rnacentral:rRNA from 1 species
UGAGGAAUAUUGGGCAAUGGAGGAAACUCUGACCCAGCCAUGCCGCGUGAGUGAAGAAGGUUUUCGAAUUGUAAAGCUCUUUCGGAUGUGAAGAUGAUGACGGUAACAUCUAAAGAAGCCCCGGCAAACUUCGUGCCAGCAGCCGCGGUAAUACGAAGGGGGCAAGCGUUGUUCGGAAUUACUGGGCGUAAAGGGUGUGUAGGCGGGAAAGUAAGAUAGUGGUGAAAUGCCUGAGCUCAACUUGGGAACUGCCAUUAUAACUAUUUUUCUAGAGUGACAGAGAGGAUAUUGGAAUACCCAGUGUAGAGGUGAAAUUCGUAGAUAUUGGGUAGAACACCGGAGGCGAAGGCGAGUAUCUGGCUGUCAACUGACGCUGAGGCACGAAAGCAUGGGGAUCAAACAGG